GGAUUAGAUACCCUGGUAGUCCACGCCGUAAACGAUGAGUACUCGAUGUUGGCGAUACACAGCCAGCGUCUUAGCGAAAGCGUUAAGUACUCCACCUGGGGAGUACGCCCGCAAGGGUGAAACUCAAAGGAAUUGACGGGGGCCCGCACAAGCGGUGGAGCAUGUGGUUUAAUUCGAUGAUACGCGAGGAACCUUACCUAGGCUAGAAUGCGCGUGACAGCUCCAGAGAUGGAGCCUUCCUUCGGGACACAAAGCAAGGUGCUGCAUGGCUGUCGUCAGCUCGUGUCG
rnacentral:rRNA from 1 species